GACGUAGGGCGCGAGCGUUGUCCGGAUUUAUUGGGCGUAAAGAGCUCGUAGGCGGCUUGUCGCGUCGACUGUGAAAUCCCGCGGCUCAACUGCGGGUCUGCAGUCGAUACGGGCAGGCGUAGAGUUCGGUAGGGGAGACGUGGAAUUCCUGGUGUAGCGGUGAAAUGCGCAGAUAUCAGGAGGAACACCGAUGGCGAAGGCAGGUCUCUGGGCCGAUACUGACGCUGAGGAGCGAAAGCGUGGGGAGCAAACAGG
rnacentral:rRNA from 1 species